rnacentral:lncRNA from 1 species
AAAGAUGGUUCGGUGCAGCAAUAACAUGAUCGGGGUGCUCAACAUCAUCACCUUCGUGCUGUCGAUCCCCAUCCUGAGCGCCGGCAUAUGGCUAGGUAGGCGCGCCACCACGGACUGCGAGAAGUUCCUGCAGGGCCCCGUCAUCGCCCUCGGCGUCUUCCUCCUUCUGGUCUCCCUCGCCGGCGUGGUCGGUGGCUGCUGCCGUAACUCCUGCCUUCUCUGGCUCUACCUCUUCGUCAUGUUCAUCCUCAUCGUCCUGCUCUUCUGCUUCACCGUCUUCGCCUUCGUCGUCACCAACAAGGGCGCCGGCGAGGCCGUCUCCGGCCGCGGGUUCAAGGAGUACCGCCUCGGCGAUUACUCCAACUGGCUCCAGAAGCGGGUCGAGAACAACAAGAACUGGAAGCGGUUCAAGAGCUGCCUCCAGGACGGCAAGGUCU